rnacentral:rRNA from 1 species
UAUCUCUGUAGAGUCUGCAUAUCAAUAAGCGGAGGAAAAGAAACUAACAAGGAUUCCCUUAGUAACGGCGAGUGAAGCGGGAAGAGCUCAAAUUUGAAAUCUUCAAGGUUCUACCUUGACGAAUUGUAGUUCAUAGAAGUGUUUUCUGUUAGUGGAGUGGCAAAAGUUCUUUGGAAUAGGACAUCAUAGAGGGUGAGAAUCCCGUAUUUGGUCAUUCCUCCUAGCGUUGUGAUACACUUUCAACGAGUCGGAUUGUUUGGGAAUGCAGUCCAAAAUGGGUGGUAAAUUUCAUCUAAAGCUAAAUAUUGGCGGGAGACCGAUAGCGAACAAGUACCGUAAGGGAAAGAUGAAAAGAACUUUGAAAAGAGAGUUAAACAGUACGUGAAAUUGUCAAAAGGGAAGCGUUUGACACCAGUGUUGUUUUUCCGAAAAUCAAUUACGAAUGUUUUAUUUUUGAGGAGUUAUGACUUCAUCGGCUUGCUCCUUUCUUUACGAAACUUUCUUAAUGCACUUUUCGGUUAACAAGUCAACAUCAAUUUCUUUUGUUGUAAAAGGGUAUGAGGAAGGUGGCUUUCUUUUCGGAGAAAGUGUUUAUAGCCUUGUACCUCUGCAAUCGGAGAGAUUGAGGUCUGCAGCGUAGAUCCUUCGGGGUUAGAUACAUUUGUGCUAAGUUAUAGCUUUUCAUAGACAACUUGUUGACUAUGUUCAGUCUUGUAGCUUACUCGCUUAUGCUAUUUUACCUACGCUUAGGAUGUUGAUGUGAUACUGCGAGCA